UACGUAGGGUGCAAGCGUUGUCCGGAAUUACUGGGCGUAAAGAGUUCGUAGGCGGCUCGUUGCGUCGGCUGUGAAAACCCGCAGCUCAACUGUGGGCUUGCAGCCGAUACAGGCGGGCUUGGAUUCGGUAGGGGAGACUGGAAUUCCUGGUGUAGCGGUGAAAUGCGCAGAUAUCAGGAGGAACACCGGUGGCGAAGGCGGGUCUCUGGGCCGAUAUCGACGCUGAGGAGCGAAAGCGUGGGGAGCGAACAGG
rnacentral:rRNA from 1 species